rnacentral:rRNA from 1 species
GGGAGCAAGAUCCCGGAGAUGGAUUCUGAGACAUGAAUCCAGGCCCUACGGGGCGCAGCAGGCGCGCAAACUUUACAAUGCGAGCAAUCGUGAUAAGGAAACCCUGAGUGCCUGUCGAUGCAGGCUGUUCAUAUAUCUAAAUCAUAUGUGAAGAAAGGGCAGGGCAAGACCGGUGCCAGCCGCCGCGGUAAUACCGGCUGCUCGAGUGAUGGCCACUAUUACUGGGUUUAAAGCGUCCGUAGCUUGACUGUUAGGUCUCUUGGGAAAUCUUCGCGCUCAACGUGAAGGCGUCUAAGAGAUACCGGCAGUCUUGGAACUGGGAGAGGUAAACCGUACUUCGGGGGUAGGAGUGAAAUCUUGUAAUCCUCGAGGGACGACCUAUGGCGAAGGCAGUUUACCAGAACAGCUUCGACAGUGAGGGACGAAAGCUGGGGGAGCAAACGGGAUUAGAUACCCCGGUAGUCCCAGCCGUAAACAAUGUGCGUUAGGUGUGUCGGUAACCACGUGUUACUGAUGCGCCGAAGAGAAAUCGUGAAACGCACCACCUGGGAAGUACGGUCGCAAGGCUGAAACUUAAAGGAAUUGGCGGGGGAGCACCACAACAGGUGGAGCCUGCGGUUUAAUUGGA